rnacentral:rRNA from 1 species
CCUACGGGUGGCAGCAGUGGGGAAUUGUUCGCAAUGGGCGCAAGCCUGACGACGCAACGCCGCGUGGAGGAUGAAGGUCUUCGGAUUGUAAACUCCUGUUGAUCGGGACGAAUGGGCUCCGGACGAAUACUCCGGAGCAGUGACGGUACCGAUUGAGGAAGCCACGGCUAACUCUGUGCCAGCAGCCGCGGUAAUACAGAGGUGGCAAGCGUUGUUCGGAAUUACUGGGCGUAAAGGGCGCGUAGGCGGCCUUCUUAGUCAGACGUGAAAUCCCCGGGCUUAACUCGGGAACUGCGUCUGAUACUGGAAGGCUCGAGUUCGGGAGAGGAAUGUGGAAUUCCAGGUGUAGCGGUGAAAUGCGUAGAUAUCUGGAGGAACACCGGUGGCGAAGGCGGCAUUCUGGACCGAAACUGACGCUGAUGCGCGAAAGCCAGGGGAGC